rnacentral:lncRNA from 7 species
UAGAGAGCAACUUGGCAGAGCAGCAAGCAGAGUAGGCAAGUGCUGAGGUUUGGCGUGAGUAGCAGCAAAAGCCCAUAGCAUCAAGAAGCAGGAAGUGAGGAGAAGGUAAGUGAAGGGCAGGCAAGGUAAUGGGAGGCAAAGGCAAGGGGAAAGGGGAGGGUAAGGGAGAAAGAGGGGAUGGGGAGGGGAGGGGAUGGGUGAAGAGCAGAGCGGAGGGAAGGGCUGAGGGGAGGGCUGAAGGCAAACCAAUGAUGAAAAAAGAAAAGAAAAAAUAAGACAAAAAAUAUGAAAUAAGAGAAAAAAGAAAAGAAAAAUAAGAAAAAGAAAAAGAAAGAAAAAAAAUGACAAAAGAAAAAAGAAAAAGAAAAAAAUGACAAAAAAAGAAAAAAGAAAAAGAAAAAAAAUGAAACAAAAAAGAGAAAAAAGAGAAAAGAAAAAAAAUGAACAAAAAAGAGAAAAAAGAGAAGAAAAAAAUGAACAAAAAAGAGAAAAAAGAGAAAAGCUAAAAAAAGAAAAAAGAUAAAGAAAAAAGAGAAAAUAGAAAUAAAAAAGAGGACAGAAAAAUAUGAAAAAAAGAAAAAAGAAAAAAGAAAAGAAAAAAUAAUAGAUGAAAAAGAGAAAACGAAAGGAAAAAUGGUUAAUGACAGAGAAGAAAGGUAAAGAGAAAAGAAGAAAAAGCCAAGUCAAAAAGUAAAGAAUAACUCGAAGGAAGGAGUGGAUGGCAAGAAAUACAGGGAAAGCAAUGCAUAGCACAGCAAAGCAAAGCAAGGCAAAAUAGCAGCCAAAGCCACGAGAAUCAAGAAGUCAGUGAAGAGCAGGAAAGGAAUGGAGGAAUCUGGCCAGAGCUGUGCCCCUGCUUGCCACAGGAGCUGCGCGGGAGGAGAAGAAUGUGGGCCAAAAGGUAAGAGGAGCUCCUUUGGGUUCUGGGCUUGAAGCAAAGCUGAGAAGCCAUGCCCGGGAGGAGGUGUGGGGUAGCUACAGGCCACCUUGCUAUCUCCCCAGAGAUGAGGUGUGUGGGCUAGGCACCGGGCAGGAGUGCUGGCCAGAAGCAAGCAUCUCUGUGGAGGAAGGCAAAGGGCGGAGGAGGUUCAAGGGUAGCUACCGGGCAUGGCCUUGCUCAGCAAGGGGAGGAAAGCCUGAAGGGCACGAGAAGGGGACAGAGAAGGGCAGGCAGUAGGCGUGAAGCUGUGAGCAGAGUAGAGAGCAACUUGGCGGAGCAGCAAGCAGAGUAGGCAAGUGCUGAGGUUUGGCGUGAGUAGCAGCAAAAGCCCAUAGCAUCAAGAAGCAGGAAGUGAGGAGAAGGUAAGUGAAGGGCAGGCAAGGUAAUGGGAGGCAAGGCAAGGGGAAAGGGGAGGGUAAGGGAGAAAGAGGGGAUGGGGAGGGGAGGGGAUGGGUGAAGAGCAGAGCGGAGGGAAGGGCUGAGGGGAGGGCUGAAGGCAAACCAAUGAUGAAAAAAGAAAAGAAAAAAUAAGAACAAAAAAUAUGAAAUAAGAGAAAAAAAAAGAAAAAUAAGAAAAAGAGAAAAAAGGAAAGAAAAAAAUGAACAAAAAAGAAAAAAGAGAAAAGAAAAAAUGAAAAGAAAAGAAAAGAAAAAAAUGACAAAAAGAGAAAAAAGAGAAAAGAAAAAAAAUGAACAAAAAAGAGAAAAAGAGAAAAGAAAAAAAUGAACAAAAAAGAGAAAAAGAGAAAAGCUAAAAAAAGAAAAAAGAUAAGAAAAAAGAAAAAGAGAAAUAGAAAUAAAAAAGAGGACAGAAAAAUAUGAAAAAAAGAAAAAAGAAAAAAGAAAAGAAAAAAAUAAUAGAUGAAAAAGAAAAACGAAAGGAAAAAGGAUAAUGACAAGAGAAGAAAGGUAAAGAGAAAAGAAGAAAAAAGCCAAGUCAAAAAGUAAAGAAUAACUCGAAGGAAGGAGUGGAUGGCAAGAAAUACAGGGAAAGCAAUGCAUAGCACAGCAAAGCAAAGCAAGGCAAAAUAGCAGCCAAAGCCACGAGAAUCAAGAAGUCAGUGAAGAGCAGGAAGGUAAGUUUCCCUUAAAGCAAGGGGGAAUGGUAGUGGAUGGGGGCAAAAGAGAGGGGAGGGGAGGGGAGGGGGAAGGGAGUGGGGGGAGAGGGGGAGGAGCAGUGGGGAAAGCGGUGGGGCUAGAGGGGGGUGAGGGGUGCAAGAGGGGGGAGGGAGGAAGGGUGGAGAGGGGGGAGAAGUGAGGGGGGUGAGUAAGUGGGGGCGUGGGUGGAUGGGGGGGAGAGGAGAGAGGGUAG